AUUGAUUUUUCACAAAUAAAUCAAUGAAAAUGGGUAAAUUUCCCAUAGAUUAUUAGACAGGAAACAUAGAGCGCAUACGUCGACAACAAAGAUCUUUUAAUAUAAUGUUUGUGAAGACAUUUCACAUGUUUUAUUUGAAUAUUAAGUUUGUCGACGCCUGCGCUCUAUCUUUCCUGGUCCUUAAAUUGGUUGAAAUCUAGCUGUUUUUGUCAAAUUUCACCAAAGCCCUUUAUUUUGACCUAUUUGGGAUGUAAAAAUCAACGUGUUAGAAUAAAAUUUUGACAAAAACAGUUCUGUUAAACUUUCUCACAUAUCUUUAAGGCAACUUAAAACAUUUAUUGUCUUCUUACUAUGAACUUUAUAAUUGGGGCCAAAUAUGGCCCUUACCGAACUUACUCCUUUG
rnacentral:lncRNA from 1 species